GGAUCAUUAGGGAAUUACAAAAAAAAAUCGGCGGGGCCCCUUUCGAGGGUUGCCCUUGUCGUAUUCUUUUUCUCAAAACACUGUGAACCCUCGAAAGAGGCGUAAUCUUUUUUUUUUUUAAAAACACAAAGUCUAUGAAAGUCUAUAUAUACAAAAAUAAAAAUAAAACUUUUGACAACGGAUCUCUUGGUUCUCCCAUCGAUGAAGAACGCAGCGAAACGCGAUAGGUAUUGUGAAUUGCAGAAUCAGGGAAUCAUCGAAUUUUUGAACGCACCUUGCGCUCCUUGGUAUUCCUCGGAGCAUGCCUGUUUGAGUGUUGAUAGCCUCUCCAAACAAUUGAAUUUAUUUGCUUUGGGUCCUUGGGCUUGUAGCGGCAACGUUACUUGCCUGAAAUACAUUCAGAAAAUCUGAAUUGGAUGUUAAGCAUGAUAUCCUCUUUGGUUUUCGAAAUUGGAUCACACUAUACAUACAACCUCAAAUCAGGUAGGACUA
rnacentral:misc_RNA from 1 species